GCCCCCGUAGCUCAGUGGAUAGAGCACAGCCCUCCGAAGGCUGGGGUCAGACGUUCAAAUCGUCUCGGGGGCA
rnacentral:tRNA from 1 species